GCGCCGCGCCGCGCGCCCCGUCGGCCCCGACGUCCGAUACGAGUUUCAGUGUUCUCGAGAGGUGACUGAGCUGAGGUUUCCUGACCCUGUCGUAAUUGAUGCAAUUUUAACUUUUACAACAUGAAUUUUAGCGACGGCGGACCAGCCAUGCCUGCUGGAGGGGAAGGAGUAGAUGCUGAACUCAAAAUGUUUAUUGCACAGGAAACCCAAAAGGCGAAAUUUCAACAACAAGUUCAUAAUUUCACAGAUGCUUGUUGGGACAAGUGUGUCGAUAAACCAGGCUCAAAAUUGGACAGUCGAACUCAGACUUGCCUCGAAAAUUGUGUAGAGAGGUUUAUUGAUACGACAUUAACCAUUGCUAACCGCUUUCAGACAAUGCAUCAACGACAAGGAGGCCAUUAACCUAUUUUCAUGGAGGUACCGUACCUACAUUCUAGAGGAAGAAGACCAGACUGGCUUACAAUCAUGAGUGCUGGGAAUCAAAAAUUACAACUAACAUGACUGAUGGCAGUGCAAUGCUUUGAGUACGGUAUAAGUGAAGACAAAAAAAAUCAUUGAACAUCAUCAUUGUGAGCUUGAAAAAUGUCAUGCCAAAUGACUUCCUGUGAACUGUGAAAGCUUAUAAUUAUUAAUUGAUCAUCACACUGGACUGGUGCGGAUACUCCUUUGGGCUCGGUGAAGCCAUGACAAUGUUGAAGUGAGCUGUUGUCCCUUUCAAUAAGAGGCCUACACUGUACCUGCCCACAUAACACUUUGAGUUUGGGGAUUUCAUGAACUUUUAGGUAAAAUUUCAUAUUAGAUGAUCAGAUAAUUUUUAACCCGACCAAAAGAGGGGGAUUCUCUGAGUUAUUCAUGGGAGUACCCCAGUUCUUAAAUGGUUAUUCCACUAAGGUUAUGUUCAAUACAGGUUUAAUUUGUUUUAUAUGAUUUAGUCAAGUCUAGUAGAUAUUCAAGCUGAACAAAUCCCUUGUUAUGUAAAUUUUCUUUCUUUAUCCAUGUCAAAUUAAUGAAGAUUUUGUGGAUUAAUACAUCAUCAUAUAUGUAACAAGCUCCUUGUGAAGACAUUGAUCUCCUUCAUUCCAAAACAAUAGUGUUUUAUGUAGAAGAGUUUAGCUUUGCAUUUGAGAUGGGAGAUGGUGGUGAAUUUUUACCUGAUUGCUACAAAAGUUUCUAAUUUCAAACUCUAAGUCAAUAGUUUAAUCUAAUUUUGAUAUCAAUUUCUUUGCUCUGGCUAAGGAGAUCAUUCAACUCGUUAAAGAAGAUCAACCUCGGUAUAGUCGACUGUAUGAUGUUGUUGAUUGAAAUUCUUGGUCUUAAAAAGCAUUUUUUUUAAUGCAAAGUUUAUUAUUGGUUAAUAUACAGUGCGUCCCACAAAAAACGAAACCGAGAUUUAGCAAUGAUUUAUCAUAACUUAAUCAUAAGUACAAUAGACAAAUGACCUAUCAAUGUAAAGCUUAGAAUCUCCUCUUUCAUCUGAUAUUACUUCGAUUAUUCCUCAUUCACGCAUGAGUGAGCAAAAACAAUUUGAAGAAAGGUUACCAAAAACUCAUUUGGCGGGGGGUAUCUGAAUUUCAAAAAGAAAAUCACAUGCCUAAAAAGUUCAAUAUCUGCUCUUUUAUUUGAUACCUUAAUCACAAAAAAUCAAGAAGUUAAAAAGUUAUGUUCCCUCGAAACAAUGCUUGUAUUUCCAUAAUUUCAUUAAAUAAACGUGUUUUCACCGGUUUCCCACAGAAGCUAUCGCACGGUUAACAAAAGACUUAAUGCAUGGCUGAUCGUCAACAAAACGGAGUGUCGGGCAAGUUUGAAAGCUAGCCUGUAAAACCUCUUCAUUUUAUGAAAUUAUUGAAAUUUAAGCCUAAUUUUCAAAUAACCAGAACUUUGUUAUUUCUUGACCAUUUUCUGUAAUUGAGGUAUCAAAUUAAAGAGCAAAUAUUGAACUUUUUAAAAAUGUGGGUUUUUUUUUGGAACCCCGAUACAGCCCGCCAAAUGACUUUUUGGAAUCCCCUCUUCAAAUUGUUUUUGCUCACUCAUGCGUGAAUGAGAAAUAAUCUAAGUAAUUUAAGAUGAAAGAGGAGAUUCUAAGCUUUACAAUGGUAGGUCAUUUGUCUAUUGUAUUUGUGAUUAAGUUAUGAUAAAUCAUCGAUAAAUCUCGGUUUCGUUUCUUGUGGGACGCACUGUAUAAUUAAGGUUAAUUGAGUGCCACUUCAAUGCUUGGGAAAUGUGUAGGUGUCUUGCACGAGAACAAGUUCAAGUCACUGUACAGCUUUAUGGAACAGACCAGAAUGGUGUUCUGAGAAAUACAUGUAUACUGUAGGAAGAUUUAAAUUUGGACAUGGUGAAAAUCAAAUUAUUUGUCAUUUAUGCAUACAUUUCCAUGAAACAUUGUUUUUCAAAGAAUAAUUUCUCAUCUGAUAUUUAAAAGAA